rnacentral:tRNA from 1 species
UAGCUCAAGUGGUAGAGCGCGUGCUUAGCAUGCACGAGGUCCUGGGUUCAAUCUCCAG